UACGAAGGGGGCUAGCGUUGUUCGGAAUUACUGGGCGUAAAGCGCGCGCAGGCGGUCUUCCAAGUCAGUGGUGAAAGCCCGGAGCUCAACUCCGGAACUGCCAUUGAAACUGUUAGACUUGAGGACGAGAGAGGUGAGUGGAAUUCCCAGUGUAGAGGUGAAAUUCGUAGAUAUUGGGAAGAACACCGGUGGCGAAGGCGGCUCACUGGCUCGUAUCUGACGCUCAGGCGCGACAGCGUGGGGAUCGAACAGG
rnacentral:rRNA from 1 species